rnacentral:misc_RNA from 1 species
UGAAUUGAAGCAGCUAGGUCUUGGAUACAUGGUUUAUCCUGGGGCUGUGCACUCUCGGUUUGAGCAUUCCCUAGGGGUCUAUUGGCUGGCCAGUGACGCUGUACAUAGACUUAAGACCUAUCAAGGACAGGAGCUUGGUAUUGAAUCUUUUGAUGUACAGACCGUGAAACUUGCUGGAUUACUACAUGAUGUGGGUCAUGGGCCAUUCAGUCACUUGUUUGAGCGUGAAAUUCUUCCUCGGGUUCGCAGCGGCAUUAAAUGGUCCCAUGAGGAUAUGUCUUUGAAGAUGAUAGACUACAUUGUUGAUGAGAAUAGCAUUGAUAUUGAUUCUGGCACUUUGAAGAAAGUAAAGGAAAUGAUAGUUGCUUCUGAG